rnacentral:rRNA from 1 species
AUUGAACGCUGGCGGCAGGCUUAACACAUGCAAGUCGAGCGAGCGGCGGACGGGUGAGUAAUGUCUGGGAAACUGCCUGAUGGAGGGGGAUAACUACUGGAAACGGUCGCUAAUACCGCAUACUAUCCGAUGUGCCCCGAUGGGAUUAGCGAGUAGGUGGGGUAAUGGCUCACAUAGGCGACUAUCCCUAGCUGUUCUGAGAGGAUGACCAGACACACUGGAACUGAGACACGGUCCAGACGCCUACGGUAGGCAGCAGUGGGGAAUAUUGCACAAUGGGCGCAAGCCUAAUGCAGCCAGGCCGCGUGUAUGAAGAAGGCCUUCGGGUUGUAAAGUACUUUCAGCGGGGAGGCGUUACCCGCAGAAGAAGCACCGGCUAACUCCGUGCCAGCAGCCGCGGUAAUAC